GCCGUUGUAGCUCAGUUGGUAGAGCACAUCCAUGGUAAGGAUGAGGUCUCGGGUUCAAUUCCCGACAACGGCUCCA
rnacentral:tRNA from 1 species